rnacentral:rRNA from 1 species
AUUGAACGCUGGCGGCAUGCCUUACACAUGCAAGUCGAACGGUAACAGGUCUUCGGAUGCUGACGAGUGGCGAACGGGUGAGUAAUACAUCGGAACGUGCCCGAUCGUGGGGGAUAACGGAGCGAAAGCUCUGCUAAUACCGCAUACGAUCUACGGAUGAAAGCAGGGGACCGCAAGGCCUUGCGCGGACGGAGCGGCCGAUGGCAGAUUAGGUAGUUGGUGGGAUAAAAGCUUACCAAGCCGACGAUCUGUAGCUGGUCUGAGAGGACGACCAGCCACACUGGGACUGCGACACGGCCCAGACUCCUACGGGAGGCAGCAGUGGGGAAUUUUGGACAAUGGGCGCAAGCCUGAUCCAGCCAUGCCGCGUGCAGGAUGAAGGCCUUCGGGUUGUAAACUGCUUUUGUACGGAACGAAAAGACUCUUUCUAAUAAAGAGGGUCCAUGACGGUACCGUAAGAAUAAGCACCGGCUAACUACGUGCCAGCCGCCGCCGUAAGAC